UACAGAGGGUGCGAGCGUUGUCCGGAAUCACUGGGCGUAAAGGGCGCGUAGGUGGCGCUCCAAGUCCGUGGUGAAAGCUCGAUGCUUAACAUCGAGUCGGCCACGGAGACUGGAGGGCUCGAGCACUGUAGGGGCAGAUGGAAUUCCGGGUGUAGCGGUGGAAUGCGUAGAGAUCCGGAAGAACACCGGUGGCGAAGGCGGUCUGCUGGGCAGUUGCUGACACUGAGGCGCGACAGCGUGGGGAGCAAACAGG
rnacentral:rRNA from 1 species